UUUAAAGGGCGCCUUUCAAGACACCCAAGGUCACCUUACAGAGCAUAAAGUUAUCAUAAAUAGUUUAAAACAACACAUUGUGGAAAAAUAAUAAUAAUAAAUAAAUAAAUAAAUAAAACUAAAACAAGACAAAACAAACAAACAAUCAAGACAGUGAUCAGUUAGACGUUGUGUGCGAGUUUGAACAGGUGAGUUGUGACUUGAAGGUUGUAAUGGUGUAUGACUGUUUUAUGUGUGGGGGGAGGGAGUUCCAGAGCCUGGGUGCUGAACAGCUGAAUGACCGGGCACCCAUUCGUAAUGAGUCGUGAUGUGGGGAUACAUAGUAGUCCAGCAGAGCGGGAGGGAGUGUAUUCUUGGAGGAGGUCGCAGAGGUAACUGGGGGCUAGGUUGUGGAGAGCUUUGUAGGUGAGGAGUGGGUGGAGACGGUGGGUCUCCCGACCCUAUGUUUUGCACCCAGUGCCUUGCCUGUAGCACUUGGGAAAUCUUUGUGUUUACCACACUGGCGUCAAAACGUACCAGUGAGGAUAAGUCGUCUAUCCUAUCUCCCAGAACACGCACUCUAUCUACUGCAUCUGUGUCUUCAACACGAUUGUUCUCCACAUCAUCGGCCAAACUUCGGAGCGUAUCAAUAAUCUCCAUUGGUGACCAUGGACCAUAGGCUACGAACUAGAAGGGAACAAGGAAAUUACGAGCAAGUGACGUAGUUGCCGCCCAGACGCUGAUUGGCUGAUACGUUUGCCACUUUGC
ensembl:lncRNA